UACGGAGGGUGCAAGCGUUAAUCGGAAUUACUGGGCGUAAAGGGCGCGUAGGUGGUUAUAUAAGUUGGCUGUGAAAUCCCUGUGCUUAACGUGGGGCGGCCAGCCAUAACUGUAUGACUAGAGGUUAUGAGAGGGUAGUGGAAUUUCAGGUGUAGCGGUGAAAUGCGUAGAGAUCUGAAGGAACACCAGUGGCGAAGGCGACUACCUGGCAUAAACCUGACACUGAGGCGCGAAAGCGUGGGGAGCAAACAGG
rnacentral:rRNA from 1 species